AUGGCUGAUAUUGGCUGUGUUGUAUGGACUUGGGAUUCAGCUCCAUUCCACAUGUGUUAUUCCAGACCCAGGUUGAGGAGCAGUGACCCCCCCCCACCCCCGGGCACCUCCUCACCAUGCGGGGAGGAGACUCGGCUGCCUCGGCUCGGAACUGCCUCCCUGGACAUCCACACGGGGGGCUGCGAGCGGACUGGAGCGGUGGACCUUCACCAGUGGCUGACACCAGUGUGUCCUCACGUGGAGCUGAGAAGCCGCGGGACGACGGGGGUGCAGAGUGGGCUGAUGUGCCCGAGCCAGGGGACCCCGGAGCCCCCAGAGCUGGACGAGGCAGGGCCUUGGGAAAGGGCAGGGCCCCGCGAUGCCCUCACCUGGACUUGCGGCCCCCAGCAGGGGGAGGACAGCCCUCCACACCUAAGCUGCCCGCGUGGGCCCGUUUGAACAGCAGCCCCGGGAAGCUCCUACUUCAGGUAAUUUAUGUCAUGGAAAUGGCUUUUCUGGCUACAUCCUGAUCCCGUCCCCACCCCCCAAACAUUCCUGGGAAGGGAGAGGCACCGGAUAAGAGUGUCCCAUAAACCUGUCAUCUUGCGCAGAACCCCAGGAUCUACGCAGGGGCACUGGGAGCAGCCAAGGAAGCGGGAAGCCGGCGGUGUGGAUGGAAACACAUUUCCAGCAGAGCCCGCCCCGCGGAAGCCUUCCUCCUGGUGUUGGCUACGGGGCUCCUGGGGGGCCUCCUGCUUGGUGGCCUCGGGCCUCAGGUGGGCCUGGCCCCCACGGAUGCCGCUCUGCUCUGCGCGUCUUUGAGAAGCUCCUGGGAACUAGGUGGGCUCAGUGCUGAGCUGGGUGGAAGGGACACCUCCAAGGUCCCUCCGUGUCUGAGGCCUCAGCUUCGUCUACACCGGGGGCUGCGUGAGCUUUCCCCGUGGUGCCCUGGCGAAGUCAAGCUGCCGACCUGCGCCCUGGGUCGUCUUGGGCCGGGUCUCUGCCUGCGAGCACAGGGCUGAGGCCUAGCGGAGUCACGUUCGCCUUGCCUGGACAGUCUCCUCGGCCUGGAGGUG
rnacentral:lncRNA from 1 species